GUGGGGAAUAUUGGACAAUGGGGGCAACCCUGAUCCAGCAAUGCCGCGUGUGUGAAGAAGGCCUUCGGGUUGUAAAGCACUUUUAUCCGGAACGAAACGCGCAGGGUGAAUAUCCUUGCGAACUGACGGUACCGGAGGAAUAAGCACCGGCUAACUUCGUGCCAGCAGCCGCGGUAAUACGAAGGGUGCAAGCGUUACUCGGAAUUACUGGGCGUAAAGGGUGCGUAGGUGGUUGUUUAAGUCUGUUGUGAAAGCCCCGGGCUCAACCUGGGAAUGGCAAUGGAUACUGGACAGCUAGAGUGCGGUAGAGGGUAGUGGAAUUCCCGGUGUAGCAGUGAAAUGCGUAGAGAUCGGGAGGAACACCAGUGGCGAAGGCGGCUACCUGGACCAGCACUGACACUGAAGCACGAAAGCGUGGGGAGCAAACAGGAUUAGAUACCCUGGUAGUCC
rnacentral:rRNA from 1 species